rnacentral:rRNA from 1 species
GGAGGAAAAGAAACCAACCGGGAUUGCCUUAGUAACGGCGAGUGAAGCGGCAAAAGCUCAAAUUUGAAAUCUGGUACCUUCGGUGCCCGAGUUGUAAUUUGGAGAGGGCAACUUUGGGGCCGUUCCUUGUCUAUGUUCCUUGGAACAGGACGUCAUAGAGGGUGAGAAUCCCGUGUGGCGAGGAGUGCGGUUCUUUGUAAAGUGCCUUCGAAGAGUCGAGUUGUUUGGGAAUGCAGCUCUAAGUGGGUGGUAAAUUCCAUCUAAAGCUAAAUAUUGGCGAGAGACCGAUAGCGAACAAGUACAGUGAUGGAAAGAUGAAAAGAACUUUGAAAAGAGAGUGAAAAAGUACGUGAAAUUGUUGAAAGGGAAGGGCAUUUGAUCAGACAUGGUGUUUUGUGCCCUCUGCUCCUUGUGGGUAGGGGAAUCUCGCAUUUCACUGGGCCAGCAUCAGUUUUGGUGGCAGGAUAAAUCCAUAGGAAUGUAGCUUGCCUCGGUAAGUAUUAUAGCCUGUGGGAAUACUGCCAGCUGGGACUGAGGACUGCGACGUAAGUCAAGGA